UCCGACUUAACGUCGGCAGUCCCUUUAGAGUGCCCAACUGAAUGCUGGCAACUAAAGGCAGGGGUUGCGCUCGUUAUGGGACUUAACCCGACAUCUCACGACACGAGCUGACGACAGCCAUGCAGCACCUAUGCAAGCGUCCCGAAGGACGACAAUAUCUCUACUGUCUCCACUUGCAUUUCGAGCCCAGGUAAGGUUUUUCGCGUUGCAUCGAAUUAAACCACAUGCUCCACCGCUUGUGCGGGCCCCCGUCAAUUUCUUUGAGUUUUAAUCUUGCGACCGUACUUCCCAGGCGGGAUACUUAACGCGUUAGCUUCGGCACUGAAGGGGUCAAUACCUCCAACACCAAGUAUCCAUCGUUUACGGCAUGGACUAC
rnacentral:misc_RNA from 1 species